rnacentral:rRNA from 1 species
UACAGAGGGUGCGAGCGUUGUCCGGAAUCACUGGGCGUAAAGGGCGCGUAGGCGGCCCCUUAAGCGUGUGGUGAAAGCGCGGGGCUCAACCCCGCGUCGGCCAUGGGGACUGGGGGCUGGGAGCGACGUCAGAGGCAGGCGGAAUUCCGGGUGUAGCGGUGGAAUGCGUAGAGAUCCGGAAGAACACCGGUGGCGAAGGCGGGUCUCUGGGCCGUACUGACGCUGAGGAGCGAAGCGUGGGAG